rnacentral:rRNA from 1 species
AUUGAACGCUGGCGGCAUGCCUUACACAUGCAAGUCGAACGGUAACAGGUCUUCGGAUGCUGACGAGUGGCGAACGGGUGAGUAAUACAUCGGAACGUGCCUAGUAGUGGGGGAUAACUACUCGAAAGAGUGGCUAAUACCGCAUGAGAUCUACGGAUGAAAGCAGGGGAUCGCAAGACCUUGUGCUACUAGAGCGGCCGAUGGCAGAUUAGGUAGUUGGUGGGAUAAAAGCUUACCAAGCCGACGAUCUGUAGCUGGUCUGAGAGGACGAUCAGCCACAAUGGGACUGAGACACGGCCCAGACUCCUACGGGAGGCAGCAGUGGGGAAUUGUGGACAAUGGGCGCAAGCCUGAUCCAGCAAUGCCGCGUGCAGGAUGAAGGCCUUCGGGUUGUAAACUGCUUUUGUACGGAACGAAAAGCCCUGGGUUAAUACCCUGGGGUCAUGACGGUACCGGAAGAAUAAGCACCGGCUAACUACGUGCCAGCAGCCGCCGUAACAC